rnacentral:rRNA from 1 species
AGGACGAACGCUGGCGGCGUGCUUAACACAUGCAAGUCGAGCGGAAAGGCCCUUCGGGGUACUCGAGCGGCGAACGGGUGAGUAACACGUGAGCAACCUGCCCUUAGCUCCGGGAUAGCUCCGGGAAACCGGAAUUAAAUACCGGAUAUGACCUAGGCCGACAUCGGCUGUGGUGGAAAGUUUUUCGGCUGGGGAUGGACUCGCGGCCUAUCAGCUUGUUGGUGGGGUAAUGGCCUACCAAGGCGACGACGGGUA